rnacentral:lncRNA from 1 species
AAUGCUGUGCACCGUCGAAGGAGUGCGAACAGAGGAUCAUAUCGUCAGGUCGCUGCUGUGACUAUUCCAGCAACUCAACAACAACAGAGAAGACCAGCUCAACAGCAUCAGCGUCAACAACAUCGUCCUCAGCAGCAGGCUUACCAGCCUCCCAUUGAUAAUCAAGCUGGUACAAGUAAUGAGAGGAAGAAGAUCAUUUUUGAUCCAAU